CGUACCCGAUGAGGAAGAUUAUGAAAAUCAGUGCUGCAGACAAACACAAAUACACCUGCUCUGUCACACACCUCAGUCUGGACAACAAACUGGAAGUCCCUUUGGAAAAUUAUUCUUCCAGAUAUCACAUAGGUGCUGCAGUCCUGAUGUUUGUAUGUGCGAUAUGUGUGGUUUGGGCUGUAGCAAUGUGGAUGAAAAGGCAAGAAAGACAGAUACCAAGAGGUUCUCACUUUGAGAACACAGACAUCCUGGAUUCGGAUGGUAAUUAAAUCACUGACUACCUACUGUAAAUGGUGAAAAUCACUUACGUCCCCAUGAGAAACAAUUACCAUCUGAAUAGGGCUUUUGUUGUUGCCUUUCACAUACAUUAAAGGAGAAACACCAUUUCCUGUAUUUUGUGGCUCAUUUUUGUUUGAUGAGGUCACAGUAGGAUAUCAGAAAUAUUUAGAUAUUUAGAAACAAAGAUGUUGCAAGAGGAAAUAUUACAAUUGAAGUUGAUGUAGAGGAUCCAAAUGACUAAUACUAUAAGUGAAUAUAUGCAUGUUUUUAAUGACAAGAUUAAAAUAUCUGAGAUCUGUCAACAAUACUGAUAGUAUGUCAAUUUAGCUAAAUUAUUAAAGAAAUAGGUUAUACAAAGCAAAUUCAAAUUUUAAAUGAAUGUGUUGACAUAUCACUUUCCCAACAGGUCAUGCAGUUUAUCAUUUGAUGUGUCUUUUUGAACAGAGAGAUGAUAAACCAUGAUAAAUGACCACUAAAAUUUUUUUUAUUUUGCAUUCUGCAUUUUUACAUAUCAAGGUUCUUUAAAUUACACAGCUCAACAAAUAAAACCCUUUUUAGAACUGUCCAUGGGGUGUCAUGAGACAUUAUACUACUAUUUUAUUACUACUUUAUAUAUUUAUUUUUAUGUUUUGUACCAUUUUAACGUGUGUAAUAAGCAUUGUGUACGUGCCAUUGUGCACUAACGCGUCCUUCAAAUAAAUAAAAAAACUGCCCCACUGAAUUUAGACCAGGUUUUGUUUGGGCAAUGGCGCAAUUGUUUUCAGUUGCCUCACAAUAGCAAUGGCAAUGCGCCUGAACACACCUCGUUUUCAGACCAGUACCUCCAUGGGCAAACAGAUGUGCUCAAGUGGCAUUUGCUAUUUAAACAACGAUACAGAUUUGAAAAUUGUCAUGGCAACUGUUUGCAAAUUCUCUGCUGUCUUAGGAUCUUAAGACAUGUGAUGUCUUCCCUCCACAAUGUCCAGCUCAGAAUCACUUCUUUCAGAAUCAUGUUUUGUUCAUUUCAUAUUUUGUGAUUCGAUGUGUUAAUUUGCAAUAUGUUAAAUAAAGGAAAUU